UCAGUCGACUCCUACGGGAGGCAGCAGUGAGGAAUAUUGGUCAAUGGAGGCAACUCUGAACCAGCCAUGCCGCGUGAAGGAAGAAUGCCCUAUGGGUUGUAAACUUCUUUUAUUUGGGAAGAAACCUUUCUACGUGUAGAAAGCUGACGGUACCAAACGAAUAAGGACCGGCUAACUCCGUGCCAGCAGCCGCGGUAAUACGGAGGGUCCAAGCGUUAUCCGGAAUCAUUGGGUUUAAAGGGUUCGCAGGCGGUUUAUUAAGUCAGUGGUGAAAUCUCGGGGCUCAACUCCGAAACUGCCAUUGAUACUGAUAAACUUGAGUAUAGUUGAAGUAGGCGGAAUGUGUAGUGUAGCGGUGAAAUGCUUAGAUAUUACACAGAACACCGAUAGCGAAGGCAGCUUACUAAGCUAUUACUGACGCUCAUGAACGAAAGCGUGGGGAGCGAACAGGAUUAGAUACCCUGGUAG
rnacentral:rRNA from 1 species